rnacentral:rRNA from 1 species
GUAGGGUGCGAGCGUUAAUCGGAAUUACUGGGCGUAAAGGGUGCGCAGGCGGUUGUGCAAGACAGGCGUGAAAUCCCCGGGCUUAACCUGGGAAUGGCGCUUGUGACUGCACGGCUAGAGUGUGUCAGAGGGGGGUAGAAUUCCACGUGUAGCAGUGAAAUGCGUAGAUAUGUGGAGGAAUACCGAUGGCGAAGGCAGCCCCCUGGGAUAACACUGACGCUCAUGCACGAAAGCGUGGGGAGCAAACAGGAUUAGAUACCCUGGUAGUCCACGCCCUAAACGAUGUCAACUAGUUGUCGGGUCUUAAUUGACUUGGUAACGCAGCUAACGCGUGAAGUUGACCGCCUGGGGAGUACGGUCGCAAGAUUAAA